AUGGAAGACAUGUUUUUGGCGUCCUGCCUACAGGGUAUGAGAAAAAGUGUUUGCUACGGAUACUAUGGAGCAAUAAUGGAUAAACUGUUCUGGACUGCAACGUGAACCUUGUGUUCAUGUGCUCUGAGGCUGCAGCGGACACCUUAUGGUUUGGCUGGGUGAGGCAGAAUAAAGAAAAGAUCUGCCUCUUGGCAAUCGAUGAGGCUCACUGCCUUACAAGCUGAGUCAGGGGAAAAAGCUUUCGGGGGGACUACCUAAGGAUCCCCAGUCUGAGGAUAUAUAUCAUAGCGCCAGUCCUGCUACUGACGGCGACAGUGACCCAGGACAUGGUCACUGAGAUACUAAACCUCCUCCGCCUGGAACCACCCCCAGUGACAAUGGUCACCUAGCUUCCCAACAGGCCCAACGUUUUCCUGGAUGUCCAAAGGACGAAAGAUGAGGACAUCACAAAGGCAGCGGAAUAGCUGGUACCUCACCUGUGCCAGGGGGAAGAUGCAGGGAAGGUCAUUGUGUACUGCGGGACCAUCAGUGAUGUGACCAGUGUCUACCAUAACAUCAUGGCAAAGUUGGGGAAUGCUGCCUGGGUGUCAGAUGAACACACAAGUCCACACCAGGAUAGUGGAAAUGUUCCACAAGCCACCUGGACUCCAACAGCCAGAAAAGGACAUUGGAUGCAUUUGUUGAAAUGGAAACAAAUGUGCGCUGUGUAGUUGCCACAGUGGCCUUCGGGCUUGGAGUGCAGGUGCCAGAUGUUACAUCCUCCACUGGGGACCGGCCUCAGACAUUCUUUCGUACUGACAAGAGGUUGGACGAUGCGCUAGGGAUGGUGGUGGGGGAACCGCCAUAACCUAUCUUUACCCGAGGUCGAUAAAUAAGUCAUUCAUCAACAGCAAAAACAUUGAAAUGCUACAGAAAAUUGAAACGGGCACUUGUAUUCGGAGGUCAGUGUUCCGAGUUUCUGCACCUGAAGGGAAUGAGCCAAGACUACAGCAGGACUUGUGAGUGUCAAGGUUGCUGCUCGAUUUGCAACACCAGACUGCAGAACCAGAGGUAAACUGAUGCAUCGGCCGGCCGAUAUUUAUCGGGCCGAUAUCUGUGGUUUUUUUAGGGCUGUCAAGAUUAAUCGAGUUAAUCGCGAUUAAUUUUUUUUAAGUUAACUUGUUCAUUUAUUUUAAUUGCGACCUAUUUUGUCCCUCUAUUUUGUGUUUCCUGUGUAAUUCACAUGGCGGUGAAAUAACACCCUGUUCUGUUUGUAAUAAGCUAGGUGCAAAUCUCCCUAUUUUUGUAGCAGCAUAAGAGAGUGAUCUGCUCUUUGUAUGAACGUUGUCUUAUUGCAGUGGUUCUCAAACAUUUCCGGUCAUGCCCCUCCGGUCAAGCGCUAUAUUUCUGUAUUCCUGCUAACAGAAUGCUUAUGGACAGAAUUAGAAUAUGCAAAACACUUUGAAGUUGUCUACUACCUCUUUAGUUUUAAGACCACAUUGUUGUGUCAUUUUAUGUUGAAGCUGUAUUUUAAGUAGACAUGUUAAUUGGGUCUACAUUGCACUUUGCAACCAAAAACAAAUACUAUGCUGCUUUUUGCUAG